rnacentral:rRNA from 1 species
UACGGGGGGAGCAAGCGUUGUUCGGAUUUACUGGGCGUAAAGGGCGCGUAGGCGGCCACCGCAAGUCGGUUGUGAAAUCUCCGGGCUUAACCCGGAAAGGUCAAUCGAUACUGCGGGGCUAGAGUGCAGAAGGGGCAACUGGAAUUCUCGGUGUAGCGGUGAAAUGCGUAGAUAUCGAGAGGAACACCUGCGGCGAAGGCGGGUUGCUGGGCUGACACUGACGCUGAGAAGCGAAAGCAUGGGGAGCGAACAGG